rnacentral:rRNA from 1 species
GCGCGAAAACUUUACAAUGCGGGAAACCGUGAUAAGGGAACCCCGAGUGCCUGUAUAUGCAGGCUGUCCAGGUGUCUAAAAAACACCUGAAGAAAGGGCCGGGCAAGACCGGUGCCAGCCGCCGCGGUAAUACCGGCGGCUCGAGUGGUGGCCACUUUUAUUGGGCUUAAAGCGUUCGUAGCUGGGUUGUUAAGUCUCUUGGGAAAUCUGACGGCUUAACCGUCAGGCGUCUAAGAGAUACUGGCAAUCUUGGAACCGGGAGAGGUGAGGGGUACUUCGGGGGUAGGAGUGAAAUCCUGUAAUCCUCGAGGGACCACCUGUGGCGAAGGCGCCUCACCAGAACGGCUUCGACAGUGAGGGACGAAAGCUGGGGGAGCAAACCGGAUUAGAUACCCGGGUAGUCCCAGCCGUAAACGAUGCGCGUUAGGUGUAUCGGUGACCACGAGUCACCGAGGUGCCGAAGGGAAACUGUGAAACGUGCCGCCUGGGAAGUACGGUCGCAAGGCUGAAACU